UACGGGGGGGGCAAGCGUUGUUCGGAAUUACUGGGCGUAAAGGGCUCGUAGGCGGCCAACUAAGUCAGACGUGAAAUCCCUCGGCUUAACCGGGGAACUGCAUCUGAUACUGGAUGGCUUGAGUUCGGGAGAGGGAUGCGGAAUUCCAGGUGUAGCGGUGAAAUGCGUAGAUAUCUGGAGGAACACCGGUGGCGAAAGCGAACUUUCUGGUCCUUAACUGACGCUGAGGCGCGAAAAGCAUGGGGAGCGAACGGGGG
rnacentral:rRNA from 1 species